AUUGAACGCUGGCGGCAGGCUUAACACAUGCAAGUCGAGCGGGGUGAUGGUGCUUGCACUAUCACUUAGCGGCGGACGGGUGAGUAAUGCUUAGGAAUCUGCCUAUUAGUGGGGGACAACAUCUCGAAAGGGACGCUAAUACCGCAUACGUCCUACGGGAGAAAGCAGGGGAUCACUUGUGACCUUGCGCUAAUAGAUGAGCCUAAGUCGGAUUAGCUAGUUGGUGGGGUAAAGGCCUACCAAGGCGACGAUCUGUAGCGGGUCUGAGAGGAUGAUCCGCCACACUGGGACUGAGACACGGCCCAGACUCCUACGUGUGGCAGCAGUGGGGAAUAUUGGACAAUGGGGGGAACCCUGAUCCAGCCAUGCCGCGUGUGUGAAGAAGGCCUUAUGGUUGUAAAGCACUUUAAGCGAGGAGGAGGCUCUUUUGGUUAAUACCCAAGAUGAGUGGACGUUACUCGCAGAAUAAGCACCGGCUAACUCUGUGCCAGCAGCCGCAGUAACAC
rnacentral:rRNA from 1 species